CGUGUAGGCGGUCAGGUUAGUGGGACGUGAAAUGCCCCGGCUCACCCGGGGACCUGCGUCCCAAACUGCCUGGCUUGAGUAUGGGAGAGGAUGAGGGAAUUCCUGGUGUAGCGGUGAAAUGCGUAGAUAUCAGGAGGAACACCGGUGGCGAAGGCGCUCAUCUGGCCCAAUACUGACGCUGAGGCGCGAAAGCUAGGGAGCAAACG
rnacentral:rRNA from 1 species